rnacentral:rRNA from 1 species
UACGUAGGGUGCGAGCGUUAAUCGGAAUUACUGGGCGUAAAGCGUGCACAGGCGGUGAUGUAAGACCGAUGUGAAAUCCCCGGGCUUAACCUGGGAACUGCAUUGGUGACUGCAUCGCUCGAGUAUGGCAGAGGGGGGUAGAAUUCCACGUGUAGCAGUGAAAUGCGUAGAGAUGUGGAGGAAUACCGAUGGCGAAGGCAGCCCCCUGGGUCAAUACUGACGCUCAUGCACGAAAGCGUGGGGAGCAAACAGG